rnacentral:rRNA from 1 species
UGAGGAAUAUUGGUCAAUGGGCGGAAGCCUGAACCAGCCAAGUCGCGUGAGGGAAGACGGUCCUAUGGAUUGUAAACCUCUUUUGCAGGGGAGCAAGACCUGUUACGUGUAACAGGUUGGAGAGUACCCUGAGAAAAAGCAUCGGCUAACUCCGUGCCAGCAGCCGCGGUAAUACGGGGAUGGACGAUGCGUAGUCCGGAUCUAUUCGGGACUUUAAAUGGGGUUUAAGGGUGCGUAGGCGGGCUGGUAAGUCAGCGGUAAAAAUGCGGUGCUCAACGCCGUAGUGCCGUUGAAACUGCCGGUCUUGAGUGAGCGAGAAGUAUGCGGAAUGCGUGGUGUAGCGGUGAAAUGCAUAGAUAUCACGCAGAACUCCGAUUGCGAAGGCAGCAUACCGGCGCUCAACUGACGCUGAGGCACGAAAGCGUGGGGAUCGAACAGGAUUAGAUACC